AUAAAGCAGAUAAGGGCAGACGGUGGAUGCCUAGGCUCUAAGAGGCGAUGAAGGACGUGAUAAGCUGCGAUAAGCUGUGGGUAUUGGCACAUACGACUUGAUCCACAGAUUUCCGAAUGGGGCAACCCGGCGUGUUUAACGGCACGUCACAGACACGAUGCGUGUUUGAGCGAACGUGGGGAACUGAAACAUCUUAGUACCCAUAGGAGAAGAGAACAAUAGUUAUUCCCUUAGUAGUGGCGAGCGAACGGGGAUGAGCCCAAACCGGUGUUGUUUCGGCAAUAUCGGGGUUGUAGGGUCUCGAAUAAAGUGUACAGGAGGUAUGUAGAGGAACGGUUUGGAAAGGCCGGCCAUAGUGGGUGACAGCCCUUUACUCGAAACAGAAGACCUGCAUGACGAGAUACCUGAGUAGCGCGGGACACGUGUAAUCCUGUGUGAAUCCGGGAGGUCCAUCUCCCAAGGCUAAAUACUCCUUAGAGACCGAUAGUGUACAAGUACCGUGAGGGAAAGGUGAAAAGCACCUCGACGAGAGGAUUGAAAUAGACCCUGAACCCGUCUGCCUACAAGCGGUCGGAGCACAAUUAAUGUGUGACGGCGUGCCUUUUGCAUAAUGAACCUACGAGUUACUGUGAAUAGCGAGGUUAAGUGUUUUAAGACACGGAACCGAAGCGAAAGCGAGUUUUAAAUGGCGAUAGUUAUUUACAGUAGACGCGAAACCAAGUGAUCUACCCUUGUCCAGGUUGAAGUGUAGGUAACACUACAUAGAGGACCGAACCGUUAAACGUUGAAAAGUUUUCGGAUGAGAUGAGGGUAGGGGUGAAAGGCUAAUCAAACUUGGAGAUAGCUCGUACUCCCCGAAAUGCAUUUAGGUGCAGCCUUUGGAAUAUACUAUAAGAGGUAGAGCGACUGAUUGGAUGCGAGGGUUUCACCGCCUAUCAAGUCCAGACAAACUCCGAAUGCUUAUAGGCAGUGCCAAGGAGUGAGGGCAUGGGUGCUAAGGUCCAUGUCCGAGAGGAGAAGAAUCCGGACCAUCGGCUAAGGUCCCGAAAUGACAACUAAGUUGUAUUAAACGCGGUCACGAUGCACAGACAGCUAGGAUGUUGGCUUGGAAGCAGCCAUUCAUUUAAAGAGUGCGUAACAGCUCACUAGUCGAGGAUUGUGGCAUGGAUAAUAAUCGGGCAUAAGUUGUCUACCGAAGCCGUGGGAUACGUAAGUAUCGGUAGGGGAGCAUUCCAAAAAGGGUAGAAGGCACAGGGACGACCUGUACUGGACUGUUUGGAAGAGCAAAUGUAGGUAUAAGUAACGAUAAAGGAGGUGAGAAUCCUCCUCGCCGAAAGACUAAGGGUUCCUGAUCAACGUUCGUCGUAUCAGGGUUAGUCGGGACCUAAGGGGUAGCCGUUUAGGCGUACCCGAUGGAUGAAUGGGUUAAUAUUCCCAUACUCCCGCAUUGAGUGAUGUGGUGACGGAGUAGUGACAGUCCUGCCUACUGACGGAAUAGUAGGUUGAAGGGUGUAGAUUAAGAUCGGUGUAGGCAAAUCCGCACCGAGAGUCGAACCUGAUAGUACACGGAACCUUCGGGGGAAGUGAUAAGGGCGUAAGCAGACUUCCAAGAAAAACCGCUAAACUUUAAUCAAUGCCGGGACCCGUACCGUAAACCGACACAGGUGGUUGGGUUGAGUAUACUAAGGCGCUCGAGCGAUUCGCGGUUAAGGAACUAGGCAAAUUGGUCCUGUAACUUCGGAAUAAAGGACGCCUACGGAGACGUAGGUCGCAGAGAAUAGGCCCAGGCGACUGUUUAACAAAAACACAAGGCUAUGCAAACUGGAAACAUGAAGUAUAUAGUCUGACACCUGCCCGGUGCUGGAAGGUUAAGAGGAGGAGUCAUCCUUAUGGAGAAGCUCUGAAUUGAAGCCCCAGUAAACGGCGGCCGUAACUAUAACGGUCCUAAGGUAGCGAAAUUCCUUGUCGGGUAAGUUCCGACCUGCACGAAUGGUGUAACGAUCUGGGCACUGUCUCAACCGCGAACUCGGUGAAAUUGUAGUAUCGGUGAAGAUGCCGAUUACCCGCAACGGGACGAAAAGACCCCGUGAACCUUUACUAUAGCUUUACAUUGUAUUUGGGCAUUAGAUGUGUAGGAUAGGCCGGAGACUGAGAAACAGGUACGCCAGUAUUUGUGGAGUCGUUGUUGAAAUACGGCCCUUUUGAUGUUUGGAUACUAACUCGUGGAUUAUGAGGACAAUGUAUGGUGGGUAGUUUGACUGGGGUGGUCGCCUCCAAAAGCGUAACGGAGGCUUCUAAAGGUGCCCUCAGGCCGAUUGGUAACCGGUCGCAGAGUGUAAUGGCAUAAGGGCGCUUGACUGGGAGACACACAAGUCGCACAGGAAGGAAACUUGAGCAUAGUGAUCCGGUGGUUCCGUAUGGUAGGGCCAUCGCUCAAAGGAUAAAAGGUACUCCGGGGAUAACAGGCUGAUCGCUCCCAAGAGCUCAUAUCGACGGAGCGGUUUGGCACCUCGAUGUCGGCUCGUCACAUCCUGGGGCUGGAGAAGGUCCCAAGGGUUGGGCUGUUCGCCCAUUAAAGUGGCACGCGAGCUGGGUUCAGAACGUCGUGAGACAGUUCGGUCUCUAUCUGUUGUGGGCGCGAGAUAUUUGCGAGGGUCUGACACUAGUACGAGAGGACCGUGUUGGACGUACCACUGGUUUAUCGGUUGUUUCGCCAGGAGCACUGCCGAGUAGCCACGUACGGUAAGGAUAAGUGCUGAAAGCAUCUAAGCACGAAGCCCUCCUCAAGAUUAGAUAUCUUUAUAGGGUGGUUAUAGACGAUGACCUUGAUAGGCUACAGGUGUAAAUGCAGUAAUGUAAAAGCCGAGUAGUACUAAUAGCCCGAACGCUUUAUAUCGU
rnacentral:rRNA from 1 species